UACGUAGGGUGCGAGCGUUAAUCGGAAUUACUGGGCGUAAAGCGUGCGCAGGCGGUUCGUCGUGUCCGAUGUGAAAGCCCCGGGCUCAACCUGGGAAUGGCAUUGGAAACUGGCGGACUCGAGUGUGGCAGAGGGGGGUGGAAUUCCGCGUGUAGCAGUGAAAUGCGUAGAGAUGUGGAGGAACACCGAUGGCGAAGGCAGCCUCCUGGGCCAGCACUGACGCUCAUGCACGAAAGCGUGGGGAGCGAACAGG
rnacentral:rRNA from 1 species